GACGAACGCUGGCGGCGUGCUUAACACAUGCAAGUCGAACGGAAAGGCCCUUCGGGGUCCUCGAGUGGCGAACGGGUGAGUAACACGUGGGUGAUCUGCCCUGCACUUUGGGAUAAGCCUGGGAAACUGGGUCUAAUACCGAAUAGGACCGCGCGCUUCAUGGUGUGUGGUGGAAAGCUUUUGCGGUGUGGGAUGGGCCCGCGGCCUAUCAGCUUGUUGGCGGGGUAAUGGCCUACCAAGGCGACGACGGGUAGCCGGCCUGAGAGGGUGACCGGCCACACUGGGACUGAGCUACGGCCCAGACUCCUACGGGAGGCAGCAGUGGGGAAUAUUGCACAAUGGGCGCAAGCCUGAUGCAGCGACGCCGCGUGAGGGAUGACGGCCUUCGGGUUGUAAACCUCUUUCACCAGGGACGAAGCGCAAGUGACGGUACCUGGAGAAGAAGCACCGGCCAACUACGUG
rnacentral:rRNA from 1 species